rnacentral:rRNA from 1 species
AUUGAACGCUGGCGGCAGGCCUAACACAUGCAAGUCGAACGAGCGGCGGACGGGUGAGUAAUGUAUGGGGACUGCCCGAUAGAGGGGGAUAACUACUGGAAACGGUAGCUAAUACCGCAUACUAUCGGAUAACCCAGAUGGGAUUAGCUAGUAGGUGAGGUAAUGGCUCACCUAGGCGACGAUCCCUAGCUGGUCUGAGAGGAUGAUCAGCCACGCUGCGACUGCGACACGGCCCAUACUCCUACGGAGGCAGCAGUGGGUAUUAUUGCAUAAUGGGCGCAAGGCUGAUGCAGCCAUGCGGCGUGUAUGAAGAAGGCCCUAGGGUUGUAAAGUAUUUUCAGUCGGGAGGCGUUACCGACAGAAGCAGCACCGGCUAACUCCGUGCCAGCCGCGGUAAUUC